rnacentral:ncRNA from 1 species
ACAGUACAAACUGAACAGGCAAUAUGGCCGCUUUCCUGUGGCUGUAUGUGGCCGGGUCGUGAGAAUGACAGCAGAAAAAGCUUUAAAAGCACAUCUGCGGGACAGU